CCUACGGGAGGCAGCAGUGAGGAAUAUUGGUCAAUGGGCGGAACCCUGAACCAGUCAAGUAGCGUGCAGGAUGACGGCCCUAGGGGUUGUAAACUGCUUUUAUACGGGAAUAACGCGCCUUACGUGUAGGGCUUUGCAUGUACCGUCUGAAUAAGGACCGGCUAAUUACGUGCUAGCAGCCGCGGUAAUACGGAGGGUCCGGGCGUUAUCCGGAUUUAUUGGGUUUAAAGGGGGCGUAGGCGGCAUGGCAAGCGUGCUGUGAAAUGUCCGGGCUAAACCCGGGCCUUGCAGCGCGAACUGGCGUGCUUGAGUCCGCGGAAGGCAGGCGGAAUUCGUCGUGUAGCGGUGAAAUGCUUAGAUAUGACGAAGAACCCCGAUGGCGAAGGCGGCUUGCUGCAGCGGAACUGACGCUGAUGCUCGAAAGCGCGGGUAUCGAACAGGAUUAGAUACCCUGGUAGUC
rnacentral:rRNA from 1 species